AGUGGCUCAGUCAAUGUCGGAGCAAGCGUUCGGCACUCCACCGCUGUCCUUUCGGCGCCCAAAGCUGGUUUGAGACCGAGGACUAGUGGCGGGAUUAGGCCAGACCCCUUUGCCCCUUUUGACAACCUGGUGGAAUUGAUCAGGGCCAUGUCCUUGGUCAGCUAAGCCACACCUGAUGACCUGGGGACAGAGGAAAAGAGGCCAGGGUAGAGACCCUUGGAUUCGCUCAUUUGGAUUUUGGAUUUUGACCUGACUUUCUUUGUCAACCCUCAUGCCAGCUCCAGGUAACGGGUGGUGAGACCCUUGGAAAUCUCCAAGAGAAGCUUCAAGAGUCAACUCCACCAGUAGUGCCUGCAGUUGGAACACUGAUGCUGACGGAAGAAUCUGUAGUGUCUCUCACAAGCGAUGAGGCCAAAGAGUGUACCUAGUUCCUGGCACCGAACACGAAAGAAGAUGUCCCAGGAGAGAGUAGGUUUCCUACUGGUUUGUUGUCAAAGACCGUGCUCCUUUUCGUCCUUUCUUUUGGAUAGAUGCAGACAUACAGCAACUACUGAAAGGAUUCAGUCAGAGAGAGGAUCUGUCACCACAGGAGGCAUUGCCCAUGCGAAAUGGGAAGGGAGGAAGGGGAGGAGGAUUGCUUAAAUAAUGCGAGUGACCAGCCAGCGGGCAGGCUGGUGUGGCUGGCUCAGCAAGAACAAUGAUCUCAUUAAUGGACUCAGGAGGCACCAACUCCGAAGUCAUCUGAAGAUGAAUGAAAACCCCGUGAUAAGCUGGGUACCACAGUGGUCAGAGAAGGAGGAGACACACUGACCUUUUAUUUUUCCUUCAUUUUUUUUCAAACAAAGACGCUGGACGAGAGCAUCAAGCCCAAAAGAGAAGCGUGUUCCAGGCAGGACUUCUUGAGGCUUGGUGGAGAGAUUUACAUCCACAAACCAUUCAGUGCGUCCUUUGGUAACCUUGACCCUGAGAGUGAAUGUGAUGACCCUGCAGCUUUUGGUCCUCUCCAUCCCUACAGAAGCUGCAGACUGUACUCAGAGAGACCUCACAAAAUGGAGGCAAGUUAAAGAGAGAAAUGGUCCAUGGCGUAUUCUCUUACCUUCCAUAAAUUGGCGUCACUUUGGGCCACCAUCCAGGGGAGGAAAACCAGCCAAUAGAAACAGAGAAAGAAGAUUAGAAACUGAUGCAAGGAAGGAGGUUUGUCGUGUUGCUGUCCUCAGGAUGGGGUGUGCACCUGCCUCCCGACCAUAAUGAUUUUUUCCAACAAAAGAAGCAACAUGGAGCAAACGUACAAAGAAACUUUUUCUAAAUACCGGUGCCUUUGCUUGGGGUCUUACCCAGCCACAGGCUGCAGGUAGGGGUGUGCGUGUCAGCGGAGAAUUGAAAAAGAUUGUCAGCCUUUGUUUUCAGUCUGCCCAGGUUGGAGAAAACAAACUGCAUAGUGAGGGCAGAACUGGUGAGUGAGUGAGUGAGUGGGUGGAUGAGUGAGUGAGUGGGUCCCUCCUCCCACUGUAUUAAAAAGCUGCAGCAGCCCCAAGUUUGGGCUUUACGUCAUAGUUUGACCCUGGCGAAAGAGACUGUGCGUUAAAACCAAACCAAUUCUAAGUUUAAAACUAUACAUUGAAAAGCCCUUUCUUCUAGCACAUCAGCACAAAGAAGAAUAUGCUACAUACCAUCUUCGAAAGCACCCUCAUGCUUCUAGAUUGCCAAAUCCCAGCUGCCUGAGCCAGUGCGACUAGGGGCCAGGGGUGCUGAGCCAAGCGUUGAAAGCACGCUGAGUCCUGAGCUCCAGUUCAUUCUUCCUGAGAUGGGGGACUUGGCUGUGAAGCCACAGGAGGCUGCAGGGGUAGAGGUUGGGGGCAGGAAGAGGAGGAAGUGAGCAGGGGGCAUGCCUGGGAAGGCUCGGGGAGAGUAACCAAUCCCUUCACUGGAGGCAGGUGGGUGUCUCCAGGGUCAUUAUCGAGCAACCUGUGAAGGCAACUGGAGGAAAGAGAUUUCCGGAAGUCUCCCGCUCUCCCUCCUGCCUGCUUCCCUCCUUCUCCUAGCGGUUGAUUGCAAGGAGCGGCGGAAGGAAGGAUGUAUCAAACCCAAAGAAGAAAGAACCCCUGCCACUCGCCCCCACGACGCUGACUCUGAACUGCAGCAAUGUGGUGGCAGCCGAGUGUGGCAGCAUUCACAGCCCCGGUAGUGGGGGCAGAAGGCAAAUCAGAUUCCGAAAGGGGCUGACUGUUUCCUUUAGCCCGGUAGGCACAGGGUCCAUAUCAAAGGGAAAGAGAGCAGCAAGUCUGCAGCAAUCUCACAUCAGGUCCCCGACAGAGGGGUGCGGGGUGGGGGUGGGGCCCAAGUCCCAAAAGAUGCCAAAACCAGCUGAGUUUCUAGACCUCAUUUCUGUGUCUCUUCCUCUGCACCAAGAAGCAAAGUACAGUCAGAAUCCCUCUGUUACAAUUAGUCCAGAGCAGGGCCGAGCAGUGGGUCAUCUUGCAUGCCCCGAAGCACAACUUUUCGUUUAUCCUGCUUGCUUUUCACCUGCAUAGAAUUCCCCCUAGGGGAGGGUGGGUCUUUACAAGCACUAAAAAUGAGUUUUUAUCCCCUGUACACAGGAAAAUGCCAGAACAAGCAUCAGAGCUUUUCCCGAGAUAAACGAUGGGCCCCCAAACUUGCACACAAUCAAGGGACAGCUGGUGACACCAGUGACUGUGCUUCUCUUUCUAGCUCCUUCACUGACUUGGGCAAAUCUUAUAGGGCAGCCGAGCAUCUAGAUCCUGAAUUCUCACUUAGACCAAGAAAGGCCCAGCUAGGGAGAAAUGAGGUGGUCGCAAUACUUAGGAUGAAAAGGGAUCACUUGGUGGUAGGAAUAUCUAUCUAUUUCCGCACGUCCUUGUCCUUGAAGUUGGCCUGGGAAAGGAGUGUCAGAGAGUGCGCUGGAACUGGUCCUUUCUGAUGUCCGCCCCAUUCCCUGUUGAUAACAUGUCUCCAGGCCCCACAUCUCACUGAGAGGAAAUAUGACUUGUUUUGAGGCGUCCUCGCGCCUCCAUAUUUUUUUUGAGCCUUUCUGUGUCUGCCGUGAAGCUGUUACUAUUGUUGCAUUCCCUCUUUUUUCUGUUUUCUGUGAAAAAGCUGUGGAGCUUUCAAAAACUGGUGACCACCAGAAAGGGACAGAAAAGACAAAGGAAUCUUUUGUUUGCUCUCUGUGGGGUGUUUCACUGCUAUUUGGUUUCUCUUUCCUAUGGAACCCUAAUAAAAUUUUGUGUGGAGAUGAGGGGACCUUUUGUCUGUGGUGAGGGGACAGCUAUGUGAGGUGGAAGCGAUUUGUUUUCUGUUUUAUGUCUUGUAACUUUUCAUUUUUCUGUGCCACUUCACUGUGAAAGAGCUAUUGCUUGCUCACUCAGUCAUUCAACAAACUUGUUUCCAGUAUAUGCUUUGAGAGGCAUAGGCUGAACGCUGUCUUUAAAAGGUAUGUUUCCCUGAAAAUCGCUUUCCCACCCCCAGGGCCUGCCAAUCUUUGGAGAGAGUGCUUCUUUGAGAAAAGAUGAGCAGAGUACAGAUCCACCCAAAGAAUGCGUCUCGCAUCUCCACUCUUCCUGACCUAGAGGUCAUGGCAGGCAUCCUCUGAAACACAGGAGCUGCAAAGGCUCCAGCAGGGGAUGGCGGGCAUGAAUUUGGAAAAUACUAGUAGCAGCCUCUCGUGGAGGCAGCUCCUCUGGUUCAUAGGAAGCUUUCACGCUGGAGCAGAGCAAGCGUUAGUUAAUAUGGGGAUUAGUCAGGCAGGAGCUCAAACCCAUGGUCCCUCCUUGCUGGGCUCUGUGGUUAGGCCUGGGGAAAAGUGCCUAAGACCAGCCACCUGAUUACUGGGCAGCACAGCAGUGCUCGCGAAGCGCUGGACACACAGUGCAUUUCACAAGAGUUAGCCAUGGCUCACACUUGUAAUGUCUGUGACACACAUCCCAAAAAGGUCAGGUCCCCUACAGGACACACAAGGACAGCAUCCAAAUCUUGUUCACCUGGCUUAGUCUUCCUGUCAGGUGCUCACCUGGUGUGCUCCUCCAUUCACAAAACGGAACGAACAGAAACGGAAAGAUAAUUUAAAAAAGUCAGAAGAACUAUUAUUUUAGGGACCAAGUGUGGUUUCAAAACGGGGUUAUUUCUGUUCCUGGGGGUGUUUCCUUGGACCCAGAAUCAGCAUUAAAGCAAUCGCACGCGUGCGCGCACGUGCACACACACACACACACACACACACGCACACACACACACCCCUCCACCAAAACUAAACUGGCUUUCAAGUUUUGAUCCUUGUGACAUUUAUCCUCAGAAGUGAUGGGACCCACAAUUAGAGGACCCAGGACUGAGUUAAUCUUUGAGGGACAAAUUGUGGCACAUUCUGCUUUCUCAGGCUGUUUUACAUCUAAAUGUCUUUGUCAGUGAUUUAUGAUCUUCUGUGAUUGUUUAUUUAGUUUCCUACAUCUUUAAAAAAGAAAAGAAAAGACAGCUUUUAGGGUCAGCCUUCAUGAACAGUGGCUGGAUAUCUCCACAGUGUCAGCCAGCUUCUGGCUUCUGCUGUGACCCAAGCAUGAUGACCAGGAAUGUGACAUGCCCUCAGCCAGCCAGUCACAGGUCACGUCCAGAUAUGCCCCGUCCAGAUACGCUCCUCCUGCCAUUCGAACGAACUAGGGUUCUGGGACAAGGUGGGGGGUAGGGGUGGGGGUGGGAGUCAGAAAACCUGGCUGAUUCAAAUGGAUUUCCUUCCACUCUUCAUGUUCAAGCAUUCUGAGUUUGAGAAAAACCCCAAACACUUGGAGCCCCCAGGCACUUUUUCCAUUCAUUUUUUAAACUGAUGUGUAUGUCAAGGGAAAUUUAAUACACAGGUUUCUGAUCCAUUUACACUUAACUCAUCAAAAUAUUGUUCUGUUAAGAGGCAUUUGGUGUCCAAAAAAAUCUUAAGAGCCUUUUUAUAAGCUUUUAACCUUCUUUUUGACUUUGAGAAACGCAAGUUGCAAGUCUCCCCAGUGUAAACAGGAGCCAGUCUCUGGUGGGGGGAGGGGAGAAGGCAGAGUGGGAGGGAGGUGGGAAGAAGGUGCCAGGACCCACUGACCUCAGCCCUGGAGAGGGACAGGAACCCGGAGCCCAGGGCUCUCCAAUCCCCUCCUGGCGCUCACUGUCUCACCCACAAUCAGGGAAAAAAACGAUUGAUGGUUCCACCUUUUUGAAUUCUGAAGGUAAAGGCAAGCUCUUUUAGGGGUCUUGCUGUUGGCAGAGAAAGCUCCCAAGUGUUCUAGGAGAAGGAUAUAAACUCCCAAAAUUUUACUUCCAGGCAAGACCCCCCUUUUUUUUCCCCUUCAAAGAAAGUGCUCAUAAUGUGUCCUUUCAUUUAUAAUUUUAUGAAGGUCUCAAUUGAACAUGUAAAGAAAGUGGAAAAACUCUAAGUUGCCAUGGAUGUUUGGCAUUUUUCCCCACUCUACUAAAAUCUACUUUCUCCCCCAAGUGAAGUAGUUUCAGAGAUUCCUAUAAAUGGGGGGAGGGGGGAAGGACAGUGGGGCAGCUGUGUGGAAUCAGAGUCCUCAAGGAAUACAUUUGUAUUUUAAUUAUUGGAGUAUAAUCUGCAUAGGUUUUCACCCUAUUUCACUUGGCUUCCUAGGUUAAAAGGAAAUUGCCUUACAUUUCACAAUGCCCAUAACUUCGCAAAUGGGCGCUCACAUGUUUUAUCUCGUUUCACCAACAGAUCUGCAACGUGGCAAAUGUGGCGGAGCCUAGCAUCUCUUGUUUAGGUUUGAGUGUUUGUUGUGUAUUGUUUUUAUUUUUCUGGUUUUCUAAAAACAGGAAAAAAACUCGAGAAUAAAAGA